rnacentral:tmRNA from 1 species
GGGGCUGAUCUAGGACUCGACGGGAUUAGCAAUGCCCAAGGUGCACGCCAAGGUGCGGUAGGCCUUGUAAACAAACCGCAAACUAAUAGUCGCAAACGACGAAACUUACGCACUAGCAGCUUAAUAACCUGCUCAGAGCCUUCUCUCUCUAGCUUUCGCUCGUAAGAAGGAGAUCAAAGAGGAGUCAGAUUAAACGAGAUCGUGUGGAUGCCGCCGUUUGAGGUUGAAGCAUUAAACUUAAUCAAACUCGCUUAUGUAUCGCGUGUCUGUUCGCAGUGCAUAAGUUAAAUUAAAAAUAGACUAAGCGUGUAGUGCCGACGGUUGAGUGAUUUCGGACGGGGGUUCAACUCCCCCCAGCUCCACCA